GCGCCGCCUCCGCUCAAUCCGGCCAGUCCGGAACCGGGGACCCACCACGCAGAAUUGGGGUGAAUCGGGACAGGCACCGCGAGGUGUCCGACCCGUAGGGCUACCUUCCCAGCCCGAACCCGACAGCUAACCCGGUCGGCGGUUCACGGAAGGAGUC
rnacentral:sRNA from 1 species